UACGUAGGGUGCGAGCGUUAAUCGGAAUUACUGGGCGUAAAGUGUGCGCAGGCGGCCGCGCAAGUCGAGUGUGAAAGCCCCGGGCUUAACUUGGGAAUUGCGCUCGAAACUACGUGGCUGGAGUGUGGCAGAGGAAGGUGGAAUUCCAGGUGGUAGCGGUGAAAUGCGUAGAGGAUCGGACAGGAACACCCAGGGGGAAACCAGCCGGAGCUCGGGCCAUG
rnacentral:rRNA from 1 species